rnacentral:tRNA from 1 species
GGGAAAUUAGCUCAAUUGGCAGAGCAUCCGGCUGUUAACCGGAAGGUUGUGAGUUCAAGUCUCACAUUUCCCG